UUUUAUGACUAGAUUUAAAUAUAGUGACAUGGCAGUAGUAUACCGUACUAGUACUGCUAAAGUCCACACUAGGGACCAUCUUCACUUUGUUUUACGAUCUUAUACGGUAUUAAUGAUUUUUUAAAAGUAUUGUUGAAGACCGGCCAUCCGGCAAUUAUCAAGAUGAAGAGCAGGAACACAAACUUUGACCAUUGAUCAUUUGUAUUUUUUCUAUGCAUUGACUUUGUGUGCGAUUAUGUCCCCAUACUCUUUUAUUAUCUGUUAAAGGUUCUCAACACGACUUAAUGUAAGUUUAACCUUUCAAUGUAAAAGGUCAUAUAUGGCAAUACCUUGUUUUUUUCUUCAAAUUAUUUGAUACCGGGAAAUAUGUGACCUUACUUUAAUUCAAACCAUGUCAGCUAUCUAGUUUUAUUUACAAUAAAACAAACUGUUUUGUAUUCUUUGAAAUAUCAACUCUGAAAACUAAAAUGAAACUAGAAACAUGAAUAACGAAAAACAUCCAGGGGAUACACCAGAGAGUGAAGAGAACGUCUUGCUUCUUGCAAGACACUUUCCGUGAAUUUGAUAUGAAAACAACCUUUUGUUUCAUUUGUUUUUGGUUUUUUUUUGAAAUUUU
rnacentral:lncRNA from 1 species